UACGUAGGGUGCAGGCGUUAAUCGGAAUUACUGGGCGUAAAGCGUGCGCAGGCGGUCUCUUAAGUCAGAUGUGAAAUCCCCGGGCUCAACCUGGGAACUGCAUUUGUGACUGCAUCGCUGGAGUGCGGCAGAGGGGGAUGGAAUUCCGCGUGUAGCAGUGAAAUGCGUAGAUAUGCGGAGGAACACCGAUGGCGAAGGCAAUCCCCUGGGCCUGCACUGACGCUCAUGCACGAAAGCGUGGGGAGCAAACAGG
rnacentral:rRNA from 1 species